UACAGUAACGUUGAAAGGCUCCUUAUUUGACUGGUUUCUUUAAUUCUGCAUGAUGCUGAGGCUACACGUGAAUGGAGUCAUCUGUGCAGAUUCUCCUGGAACCUGCAUGAGGGGUGUCUGUGUCCAUGAGUGUCGCUGUCACCCGUUUAACAGCUGCCUGUGUUAUCUCGUAAACCUAACCCACAUUCAUCCACUUUCUUUGAGAUGAUUCCACCCCCGUGUCUCUCCUCAGGAACAGCUGGCCACACUCAACCACUCCUGUGCAUCUUUCCUGGUGCAUGCGAGUGAGGCUCCCCCGGCUGUAGCUUAGGAGAUGGCUUGCCGGUGUGCCGGAAACACACAUGCACAGAUGGUUCUGAGUGACCUUCCUGAAUAAAUCCAGCACACCCCCGCUCAUCUCAGCAGGUGGUCCAACUGCAAUCUCCUCAGAUGGAGAGCCCUCAUUGCUGGCCUGACUGAAAUCUCUUCAGAUGAUGAGCCUUCACUGUCAGCCUGACUGGAUUCAGGACACUGGGAGACACACUUCCAGGAGGACAUUUCCAGGAAGGAUUAGCUGAGAAGUAAGAGCAACCCUCAGGGAAUAAAGGGAGAAAGCCUGAAGAGUGCUGGCAUAGGAGCUGAGUACCAGCCGCCCUCUCCAUCACCAUGCGAGCUGUAACCCUCAAACUUUCACCAAAAUAAAGUUCUCCUUUUGAUCUUUUAA